ACCACUGUGCCUGGCCAUAUAUUAGUUUUCUAUUGCUGUGUUACAAAGAUCACAAACUCAGUGGCUUAAAACAACACGCAUUUAUUAGCGCACAAAUUCUGUAGCUCAGAAGUCUGGGUAUGGCAUGGCUGGAUUCUCUGCUCAGGGUCUCAUAAGGCUGACGUCAAGGUGUCAGCCAGCCUGCCUUUCUUUCUGGAGCUUGGAGCUGUCUUCAGGGCUCACACCGUUGUUGGCAUAAUCAGAAUGCAGUUCCUUACAGUCUAUCAGUUAGAGGCUGGCUCCUAGAGGCCACCUGCCAUGUCCUGCCAUGUGGCCCUCUCCACGACACGUCAGUUUUCUCUUGCAAGUCCAGCGGGAGAGCUUCUACUGCAACUGCAGAUCUCUCCGACUUGCUGUCUCUCACUUCUCGACUCUUUUCCAAACGGGCUCACCAGUCAGUGGGAAGCUUGGAGGCCAUCCUGCCUCUCUUAGAGAUAUUAGCUGAAUCCAGUUUCCAGUGGAAGAGAGAAGUAGUUAUUUCUUGAAUCUGGAAAACAGGGCUAUGGAAGUUGCAGACUGACGUCAGGACACCAUCCAUUCACAGGUACUCUAUUGAAUUCCUGCUCUGUGCCGGGUGCUGGGUCUGGAGUGGCUAACAAGACAGGUAGAUCCCUGCCUUCUGGAACUCCUGGGCCUGAGGACACUGGAGAGGUUUUCUUGCCAUUUAAAAAUAGAUGAUGGCCAUGGCUGCACAGCUCUGUAAGUGUACCAGGAAUCACUGAAUUGGUAUGUAAAGUACAUUUCAAUAAAGUUGUUUUUCAGAAAGAAAAGUGCUUACAGAUUUGUUGGAGCAGAAUAGAUGCCCAUGUUCAGAGAGAGAGAGAGAGCCAUUGAGAGGCAGAGAGCACUGUUGGAGAGGCA